rnacentral:sRNA from 1 species
UGUGAUAAUGACGAUGAUAGUAAUGAU